UACGGAGGGUGCAAACGUUGCUCGGAAUCAUUGGGCGUAAAGCGCGCGCAGGCGGACUGAUCAGUCUGGGGUGAAAUCUCCCGGCUCAACUGGGAGCGGUCCCUGGAUACUGUCAGUCUUGAGAGACCUAGAGGAGAGCGGAAUUCCUGGUGUAGCGGUGGAAUGUGUAGAUAUCAGGAAGAACAUCGGUGGCGAAGGCGGCUUGCUGGGCCCUUACUGACGCUGAGACUCGAAAGCGUGGGGAGCAAACGGG
rnacentral:rRNA from 1 species